GACGAACCGUGCGAACGUUGUUCGGAAUCACUGGGCUUAAAGGGCGCGUAGGCGGGCUUGCAAGUCUGCGGUGAAAGCCUCCAGCUCAACUGGAGAAGUGCCGUGGAUACUGCGGGCCUCGAGGAGGGUAGGGGCAUCUGGAACGUUGGGUGGAGCGGUGAAAUGCGUUGAUAUCCAACGGAACUCCGGUGGCGAAGGCGGCCCACUGGAUCGGUACUGACGCUGAGGUGCGAAAGCGUGGGGAGCAAACAGG
rnacentral:rRNA from 1 species